AUCCGGAUGACGAGUUCAAGAUAAGACGAAACAUACGUUCUGGAU
rnacentral:hammerhead_ribozyme from 1 species